AUGAACGCUGGCGGCGUGCCUAAUACAUGCAAGUCGAGCGAACAGAUGAGGAGCUUGCUCCUCUGACGUUAGCGGCGGACGGGUGAGUAACACGUGGAUAACCUACCUAUAAGACUGGGAUAACUUCGGGAAACCGGAGCUAAUACCGGAUAAUAUAUUUAACCGCAUGGUUCAAUAGUGAAAGACGGUUUUGCUGUCACUUAUAGAUGGAUCCGCGCCGCAUUAGCUAGUUGGUAAGGUAACGGCUUACCAAGGCGACGAUGCGUAGCCGACCUGAGAGGGUGAUCGGCCACACUGGAACUGAGACACGGUCCAGACUCCUACGGGAGGCAGCAGUAGGGAAUCUUCCGCAAUGGGCGAAAGCCUGACGGAGCAACGCCGCGUGAGUGAUGAAGGUCUUCGGAUCGUAAAACUCUGUUAUUAGGGAAGAACAAAUGUGUAAGUAACUAUGCACGUCUUGACGGUACCUAAUCAGAAAGCCACGGCUAACUACGUG
rnacentral:rRNA from 1 species